UACGUAGGGAGCAAGCGUUGUCCGGAAUCAUUGGGCGUAAAGCGCGCGUAGGUGGCCCCAUAAGUCCGCUGUGAAAGUCAAAGGCUCAACCUUUGAAAGCCGGUGGAUACUGUGGGGCUAGAGUACGGAAGAGGCGAGUGGAAUUCCUGGUGUAGCGGUGGAAUGCGCAGAUAUCAGGAGGAACACCAAUAGCGAAGGCAGCUCGCUGGGACGUUACUGACACUGAGGCGCGAAAGCGUGGGGAGCGAACAGG
rnacentral:rRNA from 1 species